GAUGAACGCUGGCGGCGUGCCUAAUACAUGCAAGUCGAGCGAACAGACGAUGAGCUUGCUCCUCUGACGUUAGCGGCGGACUGGCGAGUAACACGUGAAUAACCUACCUAUAAGACUGGGAUAACUUCGGGAAACCGGAGCUAAUACCGGAUAAUAUAUUGAACUGAAUGGUUCAAUAGUGAAAGACGGUUUUGCUGUCUUUUAUAGCUGGAUCCGCGCCGUAUUAGCUAGUUGGUAAGGUAACGGCUUACCAAGGCAACGAUGCGUGGCCGACCGCAGAGGGGGAUGGGCCAAACUGGAACGGGGACACGCUCCAGACUCCUACGGGAGGCAGCAGUAGGGAAUCUUCCGCAAUGGGCGAAAGCCUGACGGAGCAACGCCGCGUGAGUGAUGAAGGUCUUCGAAUCGUAAAACUCUGUUAUUAGGGAAGAACAAAUGUGUAAGUAACUAUGCACGUCUUGACGGUACCUAAUCAGAAAGCCACGGCUAACUACGUG
rnacentral:rRNA from 1 species